rnacentral:tRNA from 2 species
GCCGACGCUCGCGCGCGGCGUGCUGCGCUUUCUCGCGGCGCAUCAGGCGCGCGAGGAUUCGGCGUUCCGCGACGCCGAGGUCGGCA